rnacentral:rRNA from 1 species
AUUGAACGCUGACGGCAGGCCUAACACAUGCUAGUCGAACUAGUGGCGGACGGGUGAGUAAUGUCUGGGAAACUGCCUGAUGGUGGGGGAAAACUACUGGAAACGGGAGCUAAUACCGCAUACCAUCGGAUUGGCCCCGAUGGGACUAGCUAGUAGGGGGGGGAAAGGCACACCUAGGCGACGAUUCCUAGCUGGUCUGAUUGGAUGAACGGCCACACUGGAACUGUGACACUGUCCAGACUCCUACGGGAGGCAGCAGUGGGUAAUAUUGCACAAUGGGCGCAAGCCUGAUGCAGCCAUGCCGCGUGUAUGAAGAAGGCCUUCGGGUUGUAAAGUACUUUCAGCGGGGAGGCGUUACCCGCAGAAGAAGCACCGGCUAACUCCGUGCCAGCAGCCGCGGUAAUAC